UACAGAGGGUGCGGGCGUUGUUCGGAAUUACUGGGCGUAAAGCGCGCGCAGGCGGCCUUUUAAGUCUGCUGGUGAAAUGCCGGGGCUCAACCCCGUGCCCGCCACAGAUACUGGGAGGCUGGAGACGAGUAGAGGCAAGCGGAAUUCCGGGUGUAGCGGUGGAAUGCGUAGAGAUCCGGAAGAACACCGGAGGCGAAGGCGGCUUGCUGGGCUCGGUCUGACGCUGAGGCGCGAAAGCGUGGGGAGCGAACAGG
rnacentral:rRNA from 1 species